rnacentral:tRNA from 1 species
GGGCUGGGGCUCAGUGGUAGAGCGCUCACCUAGCACGACUGAGGCACUGGGUUUGAUCCUCAGUACCACA